CCUACGGGAGGCAGCAGUGGGGAAUCUUCCGCAAUGGGCGAAAGCCUGACGGAGCAACGCCGCGUGAUCGAAUGAAGGCCUGCGGGUUGUAAAGAUCUGUUGACAGGGACGAAGAAGCCAUGCGAAGAGGUUGGUGUAUGACGGUACCAGGUGAGAAAGCGCCGGCGAACUACGUGCCAGCAGCCGCGGUAAUACGUAGGGAGCAAGCGUUGUCCGGAAUUACGGGGCGUAAAGGGCGCGUAGGUGGGUGCUUAAGUCAGGUGUGAAAACUCUGGGCUCAACCUGGAGACUGCACUUGAAACUGGGUAUCUUGAGGGCAGGAGAGGCAAGUGGACUUCCUAGUGUAGCGGU
rnacentral:rRNA from 1 species